UGUAUGGUGAGUUCUUGACCUGGGACCUGCAGGACGCUCUGUCCCACCUGCCUCUGAAAUCUGGUCAAUCCGUCUCCAUCGCUGUCAACAUAAGCGCCAAACUGGACUUCUCCGUUCAGGAGAACCUGUUACACAACCUGAACGAUGAUGGUAUCAGUGUAACAGGUCUGCCCGUCUCCAACCAGCCGCGGCAAGUUCUAAAGCCACGCGCUGAAAAUAAACCAGUUGGCAGUGAUGCCAGCAAGAACGAAUUUAAUCACGUCAGGACGCUGGAGGCUGUGUUGACCUUUAAAUAGAGCGGAGGAGCCGGUCAGGUGGAAGGCUACUACCGCGAGCUCAGUCUGGGGGUCAGAGUGGAUGUUGAACCUUCAGUUUUCUUCACAUGAGUCAACACUUUACCUGCCACCAGUACUCGUCAAUGUCAUCUACUGCUGGAUGUGUUCAACUCGGCCCAACAUGAGCUCACUCUGUCUGCCAAGAACAACCAGGACCUGGUGCUGCACGCCAGCGAGUGUCAGAGGAUGGCCAUUCAGGUGGAUCAGUUUGAUUUUGACAGCAUGCCGGUGACGGACCAUGAUGCAGUGCGACAGGCUACAGUACACUAGCAGGAAGAGAAGAGACAGCAGGUCCAGGGAGGACUCAUCAACAGCACACUGGACAUCCACUGG